AGCGGCGAACGGGUGAGUAACACGUGGGUGACCUGCCCUUAGCUCUGGGAUAAGCCUGGGAAACUGGGUCUAAUACCGGAUAUGACCUCAUGACGCAUGUUGUGGGGUGGAAAGCCUUGUGCGGCUAGGGAUGGGCCCGCGGCCAUCAGCUUGUUGGUGGGGUGAUGGCCUACCAAGGCGACGACGGGUAGCCGGCCUGAGAGGGCGACCGGCCACACUGGGACUGAGACACGGCCCAGACUCCUACGGGAGGCAGCAGUGGGGAAUCUUGCGCAAUGGGCGAAAGCCUGACGCAGCGACGCCGCGUGAGGGAUGACGGCCUUCGGGUUGUAAACCUCUUUCAGCCCUGACGAAGCGAAAGUGACGGUAGGGGCAGAAGAAGCACCGGCCAACUACGUGCCAGCAGCCGCGGUAAUACGUAGGGUGCAAGCGUUGUCCGGAAUUAUUGGGCGUAAAGAGCUCGUAGGCGGUCUGUCGCGUCGGCUGUGAAAACUCGGGGCUCAACUCCGAGCUUGCAGUCGA
rnacentral:rRNA from 1 species